rnacentral:rRNA from 1 species
AUGGAACAGUGGAUAAAAAGAGCCCUAGGUUUGUCUGCUUGGAGCUUCAACUUGGCUGUUGUUUCAGUCCUCUUCAAUCAAAUAUUUUCACAAUUCAAAGUCCAAUCGAUCUAUAACGAUGAUGUUAAUCUCUUGUAUCGAAUGUUUCUGUUGUUGAUGUAUGAGACAAAUCAUAGUUAUAGUGCGCCACAUGUUUUUCCCAUUUCAGUAACUAAAAAGAAUGUACAACUGUUGAUAAUAUUUUUGCAUCUACUAACUGUCAGUACCCAUGGCCAUGUUUUGUGGGAUAAAUGCUGUCCAAUUCCUUCUUGGAUGGCACACAUUAUUACUGUGUCUUCGUGUGGAAAAAGAUUGGAUGAAUGGAUCAGUUAG